AUGGUGGACAAGGCCGGGCUGUCCUGGUGCAAUCCAGUGUAUGUACCAAUGGACCCUUGGCUGAAGAUGAGCAAGGAGAGCACGAGCACGCCAGUGGAGAGCAAGCUCUAUAGCAACGUCCUCGGCAGUCUUCGCUAUCGGGUGCACACGAGACCACACAUUAUCUUUGUCAUCGGCUUCGUCAGCAGGUUCAUGGAGGUAUCCAUGACAGAGCACCGGGCAGUUGUCAAGCAUCUGCUCACGUGCUCCUCAUCGACAACAAAUCAGCAAUUGUACUCUACAAAAAACCCUAUCUUCCACGACAGGACCAAGCACAUUGAGACGCGGUUUCACUUCAUCUACAAGUGUGCGCAGGACGGAAGGAUCACCGUCGACUACAACCACAACGGCGAGCAGCAAGCUGACGUCAUGACCAAGACAUUGCCACGGUGA
rnacentral:rRNA from 1 species